rnacentral:lncRNA from 1 species
GGGAAAGCUCCCGGAAGGGUGGGCGGCUGGCCUCACGUGGACCACCCGCUGUCGGUCCUGAAAGGGGCCCCGAGGGCAGGGGAGCCGCGCUGUGACCGCGGGGCAGGCCUCACCGAGGACGCCGAGGGAGGUGGAGGAGGAGGCCGGGCUCGCGGGCGUGUGAGAGCUGCCGGACGCCUCGGUGGUAGGAGAGUGGAUACACCUCGCGAAGGGUGACAUUGUUCAAGGGAGAGAGGGUGUCAGUGUUGAUGUAUCGACUUCAGGAUGGCUGAUGGUUCCCGCCAGGGGCGGUGAGGCCGGCAGGUGAGGGUUCGUGGAGCCCAGAAGUGGUGUGGUGAGAGUGCGUUAGAUUGGGAGCCAGGAGCCCUUCGGCGGAUGUUUCUGCCUGCCUGGGAAAGCCGCUGCUGCCCUGGGCCUCAGUUUCCCCCCUAUAAGAUGCAGGGUUUUGACUAGAUGACCAUGAACAGCCUCACCAUCUCUGGUACUCUUGGAGUUAACUUUUCCGCUCUCUCACAGACCCGCAGGGAGGCAGGGCCGGGUGGUAGAGGCUGGAGUCAGCUCCCACUCAGGAGUGUGAAAUGCCCCAGACCCUCUGAGAGAGAACUCCAGCAGGGCCCAGCUGGAUAUGUCUACUGAGACACCUGCCCAUGCAGGGGAAGGGGUGGAGGGGGCAGGGAAGUGAUGAGGGACCCCUUUUCCCAGUCACCCAGAGCAGGGUGGGCUCUGGGCGGUGCAGGCUGCCCUGCCCGGUUUGGUUAAGAGCAAGGCUCACCUUGCAGAGAGUUCACUGUGAUUCAGCGGCAGCUUGGAGCAGAUGGACACCCACUGGGACAAGCUCUCUCUGAGAAGACCUAGGUCAUCUGCUAAUGAGCCGUGUGACCUUGAGACAGUCACUUCCUCUCUCUGAGUCUCUGUUGCCGUAUCUCUAAACAUGAUGAUGUCAGACCAGGUGCUUUUGAAGAUCCAGCGCUCAAAUAUAGGAUUCUAGAUUUGGAGUAGUAGUGGUUGUACUCUCAUUAGGCUGUUGGGAAGAUGAAAUGAGAUCAGAUGUGCUGUGUGGGUGCUAGGCUUUUCUCCCCCAUUCCUCUUGAUUUCAUUUCAUCCAUUUGCUUUGCUGGUCCCCCACCCUAAGCCCGGUGGAAGUAUCUGUGGGCUAUUGCCAUCCAGUACCCUGGCACCCUUUUACUAGUAAAGCUGUGCCCAGAAUUUCCCUCUCACCUACUCUCAGCCCAUCCCAGACUUAGGCUGGGCCAACCUCACCCCCAGAUUCUGGUAUGGUCCCUGAUUGGAUUAAGCCAGUCACCCUGUUCCGGCUCACUGGCCUUCCUGAUUGGUUCAGGCAUAGGGUAUGGCCCUUGGAGCCAAUGGGAGUUGGCCCAGGAGUUUGGUUAGCUGUUGGAGAAGCUCUCUCUUAUCUGCUGGACUUCAGUUGGAGUGGAAAACCAUCUGGCCACCAAGAAGGGGGCCGUGGGCGUGGCUUUGCACAGGAGAGAGCCGCUAAGCGAUAGAGAAGGCCCUGAUGGCAUCAUUCGAGCCCCUGCAACAAGGUCGAACUAAAAGUCCUUCCACCCCUACUUCUACUCACACCCACCCAGCUUCUCAGUGAUGUAAAACCAAUAAAUCCCUCUGAGCUCAAGCCAAGGUGUGCUGAGGUCCCUGUCGCAGGACGUGGAAGAGCCUGACAGCUGUACCCCAAGCAUCUAGGGCUCCAGGCCGAGCCCAGCACAGAGCUCUGCUGUCCCAGCCUCUCCCCCAGGGUGCAAGUCUGGUUCGUCUCCCGCUGCCCCUUCUCCCCAGUGUCUUCCCUUCCACAGAGGAGGCUGCAGAAACCACCCCAUGAUGGCAUCUCCUAGGGUGAGGGCACGUUCUCCCCAGACUCUGAUGACCCGAGCAGCCCUGUCACUGCAAGACCUGGCGUCGCAUGUGACCAUGAGGGCUGCAGUGUCAGCAUGGUGGGUCCAGGCACUGCCUGCCAUCCUCUGGCAGAAGAGUGGGAGCUCAGCAGCCCCUCCCAUGGAAUCCUCGCUGUCUCCCAGUGUCUACACCACCCUGAACACGCGCAGUGACGCAGAAGGUCUUCUUGGGUCUUCCUCCAUCGGCAGGUCCUGCAGUGUGGAUUCGGGGGGCUGGGGAGGGUGGGCACCACUGCAUCUGCUGCACUCUGGUUCCCAAGCCCUGCUCCUUUUCUCGGAUCUUACGGACGCCCUUCUUCACCCGAGUCAGCAUCUCCCCUCAGCUGCGUCCAGCGCCACAGAAAGUGUGUUGCCCACAUCCUUGACUCUCCACGUCUGGUCGCCUGGAUGUGGACCCACCCUCCUGCUGCCGCUGGUACUCAGAGCCCCCUCAGAUGAUCGGUGAUGGGGCAGGGGAGGGCUGGAAGCCAGGGCCCCCAUUGCCACCCCCCACCCGGCUUGUCUGGGCACCCAACUCAAGUGAUCUGCGCACCUACUGUGUGCCGGGCACCGUGCCGAGAGCGUCUGCGGCCCCUCCCUGUACCCUCACAACCGCCUGUGAAGGAGGCUCAUCAGCUCUGCCUUCAGACGGGGAAACUGAGGAUCCGGGAGGUUAAGUCAGCGCCCCAAGGUCGCCCACCUGACCCUGAGGAGCCCUGAAGGGGACGCACGUCCCCUCCCCACUCUGCCCCGUCUGCAGAGACAUGGCUUCCAGAACCCUGCAGGGAGAGCCCGCGCUGCAGCCGCUCCCAAGUCCGUCCUGGCCGCUGUUUACCUGGAAUCAUCCCGUGGGUCCCGCCAAGCAGAUGUUAGAGAUCUUCUCCUGGAACCACAGGCCGGGCCCACAUGGCCGGCAGACGCCCACCCCACUCCCGAGAGGACCUUGUUUAACCAGGGUCCCCAUGCGCUGCGUCUGCAAGAAGCCUGCCCAACUGCGGACUUGGCGGCCAUCCCAAGAGGGCUGUCACUGAAACUGACCACAGUGGGCGAAGGGCUCUGGGGGAAGAUCUCAACAGUGGGACCGCUGGCCUCAAGGCAAAACUCAAGGCCAUCAGCUGUUUGGGUAAAAUGCAAUGAUGUCCAUGAAAUUGUCAUUAAACUCUUGCUUGCGUGAAUAAUUGAGCAUGAGAUCCACGUGCACUGACUUCCUGGGGCCUGCUCAGGAGGGAGGCUGGGGCGACCUGGGCUUCAGGUGCCGGGCUCUGAGGGAGUCCGCAAACGCCCAGGGACCGAGGGGCCAAAGCAGGUCUGCACACUUGCCAGGCCCAGGAGCUGCUCCUUUAUCUCUUCUCAGGGAAGGCAUUUUCUGCCCAUUUCCUGCUCUGCCUGGCCCAGCAGGAAGGGCGCGGUGAGAGGAGCAGAUGGGAGGAAGAGACAGAAAAGCAAGAGGCCUUGAGGGUUGGAGUUGAAGUCCCGCUAAACCCAAGGUACACGUCAUGAUUCUGCAGCUUGCUAGCUGUGUGACCUUUAGCAAUUCACUGUACCUCUCUGAGCUUCAAUUUCCUUAUCUGAAAAAUAAGGACCGUAACUCUCAUCUUUUCAGAAAUGUUGAUCAAUUUCUCCAGGUCCGUCCCUCCCUGCCCAGCCCACAGCCCUGAUAAGUUCUCUCCCCCCUCCCACCAUCACCACCAACCCUCAGCUUAUUAGCAGCAUUGAGGUGGACACCUGGUCCACACUGGACAAAUAUCAGAUUUUCCCUCCCAGGAGUCUCGGUUUGGAACAUGGAGACAGUCAUUAAGCUGUGGAAGCCAGCUGGAAGAGCACGUGGCUCAGGGAUGGAGGCCGCCAUUUUGGCAUGGCCUUGGUGGAUGGGAAGUGAGCAGAAAGCCGGCUACAGCAGGAGGGAAAAAGAUGGGUAGAGGGAGCUAGAGAUGAGUCAGACUGCAGAUCCAGUCAGAGACAGAGGCAGACACAGAGACAGGGAGGGGCCCUGUCAGGUGACCCAAGACCCAGGACAUUGGCUG